rnacentral:rRNA from 1 species
GCGAACGGGGAAGAGCCCAAACCGGCGUUGUGGCAACGCAUCGCCGGGGUUGUAGGACCGCGCCGUUGUACCUUGCGUGUGAGGAGAACUCUCCUGGAAAGAGAGGCCGUAGCGGGUGAUAGCCCCUUAUCCGAAGCACAAUGGGACAUAGCGGUAUCCUGAGUAACGCGGGACACGAGAAAUCCUGCGCGAACCGGCCGGGACCAUCCGGUAAGGCUAA